rnacentral:rRNA from 1 species
UACGUAGGCAGCGAGCGUUGUUCGGAGUUACUGGGCGUAAAGGGUGUGUAGGCGGUUGUUUAAGUUUGGUGUGAAAUCUCCCGGCUCAACUGGGAGGGUGCGCCGAAUACUGAGCAACUAGAGUGCGGGAGAGGAAAGUGGAAUUCCUGGUGUAGCGGUGAAAUGCGUAGAUAUCAGGAGGAACACCGGUGGUGUAGACGGCUUUCUGGACCGUAACUGACGCUGAGACACGAAAGCGUGGGUAGCAAACAGG